rnacentral:rRNA from 1 species
GGUGCAUGGUUGUCGUCAGCUCGUGCCGUGAGGUUGUUGGGUUAAGUCCCGCAACGAGCGCAACCCUCAUUGUUUAGUUACUACCAUUCAGUUGAGGACUCUAAUGAGACUGCCAACGAGAAGUUGGAGAAGGUGGGGAUGACGUCAAAUCAUCAUGCCCUUUAUGACCUGGGCUACAAACGUACUACAAUGGCCAAUACAAAGAGAUGCGAAGCGGUGACGUGGAGCGAACCUCAGAAAGUUGGUCUCAGUUCAGAUUGAAGUCUGCAACUCGACUUCAUGAAGGCGGAAUCGCUAGUAAUCGCGGGUCAGCAGACCGCGGUGAAUACGUUCCCGGGUUUU